rnacentral:rRNA from 1 species
UACGUAGGGAGCAAGCGUUGUCCGGAGUUACUGGGCGUAAAGCGCACGUAGGCGGUCUCUCGCGUUGGUGCUGACAGCCGUCGGCUUCACUGACGGAGGCGUAUCAAAACGGAGAGACUGGAGGCUUAGAGAGGCAGACGGAAUUCCGGGUGGAGCGGUGAAAUGCGUAGAGAUCCGGAAGAACACCAAAGGCGAAGGCAGUCUGCUGGCUAAGCACUGACGCUCAGGUGCGAAAGCUAGGGGAG